GUCCACGCCCUAAACGAUGUCGACUGGUUGUUGGGGGUUUGACACUCUCAGUAACGAAGCUAACGCGUGAAGUCGACCGCCUGGGGAGUACGGCCGCAAGGUUAAAACUCAAAGGAAUUGACGGGGACCCGCACAAGCGGUGGAUUAUGUGGAUUAAUUCGAUGCAACGCGAAAAAACCUUACCUACCCUUGACAUGUCCUGGAGCCCGGAGAGAUCCGGGUGUGCCCGAAAGGGAACGGGAACACAGGUGCUGCAUGGCUGUCGU
rnacentral:rRNA from 1 species